rnacentral:rRNA from 1 species
UACGUAGGGUGCGAGCGUUUGUCCGGAAUUAUUGGGCGUAAAGGGCUCGUAGGCGGUUUGUCGCGUCGGGAGUGAAAACACCGGGCUUAACUCGGUGCUUGCUUUCGAUACGGGCAGACUAGAGGUAUGCAGGGGAGAACGGAAUUCCUGGUGUAGCGGUGAAAUGCGCAGAUAUCAGGAGGAACACCGGUGGCGAAGGCGGUUCUCUGGGCAUGACCUGACGCUGAGGAGCGAAAGUGUGGGGAGCGAACAGG